rnacentral:sRNA from 1 species
CAAUGGAGCUCUAAAAGAAGUGCUAGAACACGCUAAGGAAGCCCAUGAUUCUGCUACCAAUUUGAGAAUGGAAUAACCCACUUAACAAGCAACAGUCAUUCAGGCAUCCAUAUACACAAUUAGCAUGGGAAAUACCCAUGCCAAUCCCCUUUUCUACUUUGUUUUGAGGACAUCGUUCUAGAUAUUCCUUAGCUGCCCAAUUUCCUUCGCUGUUCAAAGUUCAAAGUUCGUCAAGACGACCCAAAACUGCAAAGAUUCCUUCAAGCCAAAACUAGAGCAAAACAUACGAAAAGAUCUGACAUACCAAGAGAUAUGUCAAGCAUAAACUUUGAAUUCAGCCAUUCAAGCGAACCUUAUGGCUCGUGCCCAAUAUGAACUCGGUGGUCACUGCUGGUCCGGUUCUUUUGCCGACCAUGUUCGAUCUUAAAGCAGGCAUCUGGUAGCAUCCCCAAUUCCACCAUUAUUGCGUCAGACGAACCUCUCGACCUGGCUCCCGUCUUCGUCAUCAAAGUCUCUUUGAAAACUGCGCCACCGACACAUACGGUCUCAUUCACCGUACUCUAGCAAGUUCCACCAAGAUCUGGACUCGUCGACCAUGAUGAAGAUGCUCGUGUUAGCAAAGUCGCGCGGAGUCCCGUUUUCAUGACAAUUUUUCCUCUAUGGAUGGGAUGAUUUAUCUUCCGAGCCAGGUAUUUUCCAGCCCAUCUUUUGUGUUUAUCGCUUGGAGUUUGCCUUUUACCUCUAUCCACCAAUAUGAAGAACCCCCAGUGUACUGGCGCGCAUAUCCCAGGCAAACUCCAACAUAUCGUUCAUUCUAGAUUGAAAUACGUUCACAGUCCGCAUCGUAUACCGCGAUACAUGUUUCUGCAACUUAGGAUUCCCGAGAACCCGAAGUAAAAGCGGAACAGAUGAAAGCAAGGCGAAAAAUCUUUCCUGCUUGCCCUGAAUGUGACUUCUUGGUCACAGUUGGUGACAAUUCUUCUCAAUUUCAAACACCACCUCUCCAAAAAUAGAACAAGGGAAAACAAAAAAAAAAAGCCCCAAAAAGGCAACACAUUAGCUAGACGCCAAGGAACACCCACACGAAAAUGCUCCAGAGAGAUGUCUAUUUUUAAACAAUGGCUUUAUUCCCAAAUCUCCACUUCUCAACUAGUUGUUUGACUGCCCUGAUAAGAUCCACUGCUGGGAUAGCAGCAUACGAGUACACAAUCCCCCACCCCUCUCCCUUGUCAAAAAUUCCCAAGCAGUACGUAUGUCAACACGCGUAACUCGCAAACCAAGAAUCCACUUUCUCAUCUAUAUGAGGUUUCAAAGGCAAAGGAAUAUGAUCUCUCGUCAAUGAGGCGGCCUCCGUUCAGUCAGCGAAAUCCCUGCUGGGCUCUCAUUUGAGCAUUGUAAAUGCGUUUGUUCUCCUGCUUGAUCGGAUCUUUCUGUGCAUACGUAUGCGCUACACACGCGUCGCUGCGGCUAGUCAUGAUUCUCUCACCAUUCAUGCAAUGCGUCUGGAGUUGAGUUGGGGGUGAUUUCAUGAUAAAAAUAGUAAUAUCAAACAAACACGUAACACUGAUGAUGGAGAGUGAUCACAUAAUAAUGAAAAAAAGGAAAGGGAAAAACCAGAAAUUUGGUUCGGUUUCUCGGGGCGG